rnacentral:rRNA from 1 species
GAUGAACGCUGGCGGCGUGCCUAAUACAUGCAAGUCGAGCGAACGGACGAGAAGCUUGCUUCUCUUAUGUUAGCGGCGGACGGGUGAGUAACACGUGUAUAACCUACCUAUAAGACUGGGAUAACUUCGGGAAACCUGAGCUAAUACCGGAUAUUAUUUUGAACCGCAUGGUUCAAAAGUGAAAGACGGUCUUGCUGUCACUUAUAGAUGGAUCCGCGCUGCAUUAGCUAGUUGGUAAGGUAACGGCUUACCAAGGCAACGAUGCAUAGCCGACCUGAGAGGGUGAUCGGCCACACUGGAACUGAGACACGGUCCAGACUCCUACGGGAGGCAGCAGUAGGGAAUAUUCCGCAAUGGGCGAAAGCCUGACGGAGCAAUGCCGCGUGAGUGAUGAAGGUCUUCGGAUCGUAAAACUCUGUUAUUAGGGAAGAACAUAUGUGUAAGUAAAUGUGCACAUCUUGACGGUACCUACACAGAAAGCCACGGCUAACUACGUG